AGAACAUUUCAAAGAGAGCUUGUGGAACACAAACCAGGGGCUCCUAACACUGUGAGCAAAUAUUGAAGUUUUCCACAGGAUGUAAUUGUCACUCAAUAGUGCUAUAUUUUUUCUGGAAAGAUAAAA